GACUGUGCAAAGGUAGCAUAAUCAGUUGGCUUAUAAUUGAGGUCUUGCAUGAAGGAACUUACGGGGAACUACUGUCUUUAUGAUAGUAAGAUGAAUUUGGUGCACAAGUGCAAAUACUUGUAUUUAUUAAAUAGACGAGAAGACCCUAGAAACUUUUAAGUAUAUUUUGCUGGGGCGGCAAGGUUGCAGUAAACCAACCUUAUUUACAGGAAGUUUGAACGUAAGAAUAAGUUACUCUAGGGAUAACAGCAUAAUUAAUUU
rnacentral:rRNA from 1 species